rnacentral:tRNA from 1 species
GCCUGGGUGGCUCAGUUGGUUGAGCGUCCAGCUUUGGCCUGGUUCAUGAUCUGGCGGUUCAUGGGUUCGAGCCCCGCAUCGGGCU